rnacentral:rRNA from 1 species
UGCAAGUCGAACGGCAGCACGGGAGCAAUCCUGGUGGCGAGUGGCGAACGGGUGGGUAAUAUAUCGGAACGUGCCCAGUCGUGGGGGAUAACGCAGCGAAAGCUGUGCUAAUACCGCAUACGAUCUCUGGAUGAAAGCGGGGGACCGCAAGGCCUCGCGCGAUUGGAGCGGCCGAUAUCAGAUUAGCUAGUUGGUGGGGUAAAAGCCCACCAAGGCGACGAUCUGUAGCUGGUCUGAGAGGACGACCAGCCACACUGGAACUGAGACACGGUCCAGACUCCUACGGGAGGCAGCAGUGGGGAAUUUUGGACAAUGGGCGCAAGCCUGAUCCAGCAAUGCCGCGUGCAGGAUGAAGGCCUUCGGGUUGUAAACUGCUUUUGUACGGAACGAAACGGCUCCUUUUAAUACAAGGGGCUAAUGACGGUACCGUAAGAAUAAGCACCGGCUAACUACGUGCCAGCAGCCGCGGUAAUACGUAGGGUGCGAGCGUUAAUCGGAAUUACUGGGCGUAAAGCGUGCGCAGGCGGUUAUAUAAGACAGAUGUGAAAUCCCCGGGCUCAACCUGGGACCUGCAUUUGUGACUGUAUAGCUAGAGUACGGUAGAGGGGGAUGGAAUUCCGCGUGUAGCAGUGAAAUGCGUAGAUAUGCGGAGGAACACCGAUGGCGAAGGCAAUCCCCUGGACCUGUACUGACGCUCAUGCACGAAAGCGUGGGGAGCAAACAGGAUUAGAUACCCUGGUAGUCCA